GCCUGGGUGGCUCAGUUGGUUAAGCAUCUGACUUCAGCUCAGUCAUGAUCUCACAGUUCGUGGGGUCAAGUCCCAUGUCAGGCU
rnacentral:tRNA from 1 species